GACAGUUCGGUCCCUAUCCGUCGCAGGCGUAGGAAAUUUGAGAAGACCUGUCCUUAGUACGAGAGGACCGGGAUGGACGUACCUCUGGUGUACCAGUUGUUCUGCCAAGGGCAUGGCUGGGUAGCUGUGUACGGAAUGGAUAAGCGCUGAAAGCAUCUAAGCGCGAAGCCAACUUCAAGAUAAGAUUUCCCACCGCAAGGGUAAGACCCCAGAAAGACUAUCUGGUUG
rnacentral:rRNA from 1 species